AGCGCCAUAGCUCACUGGUAGAACAUUUGCCUUGAAUGCAGAAGGUCCCAGGUUCAAUCCCAACAUCUCCAGGGAGGGCUG